AACGAACGCUGGCGGCAGGCUUAACACAUGCAAGUCGAACGGUUGUAGCAAUACAGCAGUGGCAGACGGGUGAGUAACACGUGGGAACCUUCCUAGGGGUACGGAACAACUCAGGGAAACUUGAGCUAAUACCGUAUACGCCCGUGAGGAGAAAGAUUUAUCGCCCUUAGACGGGCCCGCGUAGGAUUAGGUAGUUGGUGGGGUAAUGGCCUACCAAGCCUACGAUCCUUAGCUGAUCUGAGAGGAUGAUCAGCCACACUGGGACUGAGACACGGCCCAGACUCCUACGGGAGGCAGCAGUGGGGAAUCUUGGACAAUGGGCGCGAGCCUGAUCCAGCCAUGCCGCGUGAGUGAAGAAGGCCU
rnacentral:rRNA from 1 species